rnacentral:rRNA from 1 species
UACGUAGGGGGCGAGCGUUGUCCGAAGUUACUGGGCGUAAAGCGCGCGGUAGGCGGGGGAUUAAGUGAGAGGUGAAAGGCUGGGGCUCAACCUCAUGCAGUGCCUCUCAUACUGGUCUUCUUGAGGGCGGUAGGGAGAAGUGGAAUGGUUGGUGUAGCGGUGAAAUGCGUAGAUAUCAGCAGGAACACCCGUGGCGAAGGCGGCUUCCUGGUUGGAUACUGACGCUGAGACGCGAAAGCGUGGGGAGCAAACAGG